rnacentral:rRNA from 1 species
GACGUAGGGCGCGAGCGCUGUCCGGAUUUAUUGGGCGUAAAGAGCUCGUAGGCGGCUCGUUGCGUCAACCGUGAAAACCCGGGGCUUAACUUCGGGCUUGCGGUUGAUACGGGCGGGCUGGAGUUCGGUAGGGGAGACUGGAAUUCCUGGUGUAGCGGUGAAAUGCGUAGAUAUCUGGAGGAACACCGGUGGCGAAGGCGGCAUCCUGGACCAACACUGACACUGAGGAGCGAAAGCCAGGGGAGCAAACGGG